GGCCCAUGUCACAACUGGCAAAGCUCAGCUGCUCUCCCCAGCAGCAGGAGGGCAGCCAAAGUCACUGUUCCCCAACUCGCAAGUGAGAAAAAUCCAUCUGAAACUCCAUGGGAAAGCCCAGAAAUGCAACACACUCCUGGAUGCUCUGAAGGGCUUCCCAGCCCCUCUCCUCCCCGGCUCAUACCCACACACCAUCAGCACUUUUUUGGCCAACCAAGGAGCCCAUGUGGCACUCCAGGCUUGGUGAGGAACGACGCCACCGCCGCUGGGUGUGAUGCAAAGCAUGAGCUCACCCAUCCAGAGGGCCCCGCCAGCUCCUGUGUCCUUCCCAAAAGCCACGCGGAGUGGGUGGCUCCACCAGCAAGGCUGAUUGCAGUUCCCCUGUAUAAAGCACAGCAGCCACUGGUGACAUCCCACUCCUCCCCUUGGUUUCAAGCCGAGGCACCCCGACAUGUGGCAGCUUGCUGUCGCCCAGCACCGUUUCGGGUGCUCCAGAUGACCAACUGUGUACAGCUGCAGUAUCUGAGCGACCCACAGGGCACAACGGGACUUUGUAUGACUCCUCCCUCCCAGGCAUACUCACCAGAUACCCCUGGCAUCAGGCCAAUCUCUUGCCAUUCCAGAUGCCAACAGAAGAGGAGAAACUGGCUUGUCAAACAAGAAGUGAUCAUCAAUCAGCUGCUGCUGCUCCGCAUCAGUCAUGUUCCUCAGAGCAUAGUACUUGCCCUUGAGAUCACCGUCCAGGCUACCCAGAGCUGAAAGAGAGUCACUUUUAGGAUGGAACUAGAGGUGCCAGACAUUCCCAGCACUUGAGAGACCACACACAAAGUAUAGCAAUGCCUGAUCUGCUUGGUUUGGUUCCUCCCUUGCUUUCAUCUGCAACGGCAAUACCUUUGCAGCAUUACAGAACUUAAUACAGUAUUAGAUGAUGUGUCUGCACCUUCUAGGCUUAUACAAGUAGCCUUUGUUCCCUUACAUGCAGUACAGAAUCAGUACUGCUGCUUAACUCUACCAGUGGAGUGCUUUCUUCCAAGAAGAAUCAAGGUCAUGAAUAUAACAAACAUUAUUAUUCUAGUCAAGGACUGCUACCCUGCCCUUGAGGUUCUGGAACAACUACACUCUCAGUCUUCAGAAUUGCACCUUGGGUGUAUCCUUUCCCCUCUCUUAAUGGAGUUGGGAAGCAAGAGAAAAAACCUGCAGCUGAGGAGUUCCACUGAAAACUAGGGCUUACUCUAGUCAACUGCACAUUUGGAGCAAAACUACACCUCUAAGCAAGCUGAAUAUUAAUGAAAGUCAAUUAAAAGCAGCCACAAAUUACUGCAACCAUGACUCAAGCCCUGAAGUUGCUACAUACGUGUUACAUUUCAGGUUUGAGCCACUAUGAGCCAACCUCUUUCCCCACACACAUAGAAAGAAGCUUUCAAGAUCAGCAAAGGUCACCUUAAAGCAGUCCAGCUUCCCUCUGACAUCUGCUCUUGCUCUCAGCUACAAACCGCAAUGCUGAGGCAGCUCUAAUGUAAAUUUCCAGGGAAAGCUCCAUGUUCCUACUAAGUCUUGAGGGAGGCAGCUUUUGCCAACUGCCUCCGUUUUCAAACUGCAAAGAACACAUCUUACGCAAAGGACAUAAAUGGUUUCCCAGAUGCACCCAGUUCUGACUUUACCUUCCACAGAGAGCUUUUCGAUAGCCCGCCUCUCUCCUCGACUGCAGUGUGGGGGAAGACAGAAUCCACGGAUGCUCCUACCAGUUCUGACACGGGAACUCAGCACGUAAUUGGGAUCCAGGUCAUCACCCCCCUACAAGAUUAGGCAAUCAGUGAGUACAAUCCUGUGGCCAAGAUACCAACCCUAAAUACAUGUAGCUCCCAUGCCUUUAAGUGUUCACCUUAUAAUUGAGAUAUUGACCCCCUGGCCUGUGAGCCAGUGUCUUACUUCAGGACUAUUUUCUUCAGCAUUAGCUCAAGUAUCUGUAUAACACAACCCUUGUUUUGAGGCUAAGGCUAUAGCUACUAAGUACUGCUAGAAGACAGGGAUACCACCAGACCAUCAGUUUUAUGUCCAUUUCACACAACAGUCUGGGCUUCUGUUACUCCUUCAGAUCUGCAGUUUAUAGGUAUCAAAAUGAAGCAAACCCUUGCUGUUUAGGUAGGUGUUUACUCUUGCAAAUGAGAAUUAUUCACUAUUGUCAUCCAAAGUCUCAUAUUUUCAAUAUGACCUAUGGCUAGCCAAUCAACAUGGCAUCAGGAAUUCCUAGGAAUUCUGCAGUAACAUUUGAAAUCCAUAAAAUGGGCAGAAAUCCUUCUUCUACCCAUAACAAUGCCUACUGUUGUAUAGUAUGAGACCACCAGGUAAUACUUAAGAUCCAAGAUCAGAUAACAGAAAGCAUUAAGUUUGAUGGCAGUCCUUGACUCCUAGGACAGCAUUGUUUAGCUUUACUACUACAGCCCACAAUUCAUGGAAAUACAUGUUGAACAUGUUUGGCAUGACCUACACUGCAGCAGCACGUGGAGCAAGCUCCUGCUGCAUGCCAGCUGCCUGGUUCUGCCCAGCCCGACAUCCCACAGCAGCAAGCUCUGAGGUCUGAUUGCACAGACACACAGCCUGUGGGUCUGUGCUGGUUGAAAGUGAGGAGGCAGAGCCUCAGCAAUCAGUUUAAACAGCCGCCAACAACUUUACCCAGUCCUCAGAGCAGUAGGCAUCAGUAAUUGAUCAAGUUUAUACCUGCAGGUUAUCAGCAUUCAAGUCAGUCUUGUGCUGAUCAGUCGGUUUGUAGCCACCAUGUCUGUCUUCAAUAACUGGAUCAAAGAGUUCCUUAAACACCUCAUAGGAUUCUUCAUCACCAGCUACGCAUCCUACUGUCAUUAUGAAGGGAUGGCCUGGAGUGGUAAUAAAGGCAGAAGAGCUAAGUUUGGGUGAUGUCUGGCUGUACUCCAGUGCAGCACUAACCAGGCAAGUUCUUUAGUGGUAGGUCUAGUCACUUAGAAACGCAUUUUACAUAAAAACAUUUGGAGAGACCCUACGUUUUACACUUCAUCCAGUUAGACAAAUGCAGUGCCAUGGAAACCCAUAAAUGUUGCCAUUAAACCACACUCAUUUGUCAAGCUUAGUUUAGGACAAAUUUGCACAGCACAUCCAAUUUCACUAGCUAAUUUAGACCACCAGAUAGAACUUUCUCUAAACAAUCAUGCUUUGCUGUAAGCAAGCAUACUUUGCUUUUUGUUCCUUCUGCUACAGACAGAGCUGCACUUCUGUAGGCUACUCAUAAAUACCACCUCCACAAGAUUAGCUUUAAGUCACCAUAUCCAAAAGCACCAGUUACUUCAGCUGGCUCACACGGAAUAUUCUCAACGCAUUUUACCCGGAUUAUCAACCCCAGUCUGAAUGACAUCAUCCAGGGUGAAGCCACUGGGCGUGACUCUGUCUCUCAGUUUCUUGUAUAAAUCCAGGGUUAGAACUUUGGCCAUGUGGUUGUUGUGGGCGCUCAGGUCCGGGUACUCCUCAUCAGGAGGCAGUCUCUGAUUAUUUAGUUGGGCCAUUUUGAUAUUGCUAGAGUAAAAAUAAAUACUGUAAUGUUAACAUGUAAAUACAUCUGCUCCCCCUUGUUUCAUAGAAGUGCUAGAGAACACAACAUAACCAGUUUGGAAUAGGAAUAGACCAGAACAGCCAGGUAAGCCCACAUUCUCCCCCACACACUUGUGUUAUAAUUAGAAUUCUUUUUUUUUUUUUUUUGUUCAGAUUGAAAGUAUUUAGCAGAGCAGUUACAUAAUUGAAGUGUCUGGGAAUUGAUAUGUCAGAUCGCAGCAAGGAACAUGGCUUGAUAGAACAAGGCCUCUUUUAACAGAGCCAUGCGUUUAGAGCCGUCUCCCAACGCUUUACAAGAUUUGCCUCAGCAGCUCAAGAGCCUUGGGUGCUGUUGUCAAGAAGCACUUCCAUUAAGAAGGGGGAACAGAUCAUUAUGCAGAUCUAACAGUCCCCAGCCGUUACCUGGGUUGUCAACCCCAGUCUGGAUAACAUCAUCCAGGGUAAAUCCACUGGGAGUCUGUUUAUCCCUCAACUUCUUGUACAGGUCCAGGGUCAGCACUUUAGCCAUGUGAUUGUUGUGAGUGCUCAGGUCAGGGAACUCAUCAGCAGCAGAGUACUUCAUCUUCAGGAGGUUGUGGCUGUUUGAGAAGGGCAUGUUUGACCCUACGCAGUCACUAGGGGAGAAAGAGGGGAAGCCCAUCACUGGGGGCUCGGCAGGCUGCUGAACCGCCCGCCCUGGGAGCCUGGCACCCAGGCAAGGUCACCUUGGCUGUCGUCCCACUCGUGCCUUCUACACCUUCGUUACUUCACCACCUUCCACAAAGAGCCGGGAAAGAGGAAAGAAAAAAGUUCUUCACCUCCACCAGCCUUGCCCCGUCCUUAAACAUCCCAGCCGAAAGGGCAGGGGUUCUCCCCACUCCGCCGGGGCACCGCGCGGGUGAAGGGAAGCGCCCAAGGUCGCACGGAGCGGCUGUGGCAGCACCGGGCAGACCCCGCCGGGGCUCUGGGGAUCCGGGCCGCCGGGGGCCGGGGGCGCUCGGCCGCGCUGGGAUCCCGGGCCGGGCGGCAGGUGAGCAGGGCGGCAUCGCGAUGCCCUCGGUGGGCGUGCGCGCCUCCUCCCGCCGCUGCCAGGCAGAGCGGGCCCCGCCGCGCCCCGACCCGAGCAGCGAUAACGGCCGUUGCUCUCCGCGCCCGCGGAGCCGCGGCUGCUGCCCGAGGUGUGCGCGGAGCGGUGGGAAGCAUCCGACAAGCCAUUAUACAACAGACGGCUCCCUCGGGGGACCUGGCUGGGGCGAGCAUAUGUAACUACCCUGCUAAAUACCGGGUUAAUCUGGUUUUAGAGCGGGGGCCACUCCAGCCGGGGACAAGCCCGAGAAGCACCUGCGCCGCGGCCCCCGCGCCGGCUGCGCACCGGGCGCCCCUGACCCCCGCUGCCCCCCGCCGCACCCACAGCCCCGCUCCCCCAUCCUCAGCCACAACGGCUCCUCCCCACUCAGUAGAAAAGAAAAAGGGGAAAAAAAAUAAAUUUAAAAAAAAAAAAAAUUAAAUCCUAUUUUAAAGCUGCAGGAUGGCUCGGCUGCCCCGGGACUUACCGAGGGCUCCACAGCCAAAGCAACGACCUCCGCACCCGCUCAACCGCCCCGCUACUGCCCUCGCCGGAGUGGAGCCCCGGCGCAACUGCCGCGCCUCUCUUAUAUAGAACGCGAGCCGCCGCCCCAUUGGCCGCUAUUUAUAGCCCAUUCAUUCCAUUGGCCCAGGCGCAGGCGGGCGGUGCGAGCGCCCUGUCGCGGGCCGGGCGCAGGCUUGCCGCCAUUUUGCGUGGCCUCGGGGAGGCAGUGGGGCGGUGGGAUAGACGGGUAGUGCUGGGGCCGCUCCCGCUGCGGAGGGGCCGACGAUGGCCUUGGUGCCAUCAUUAAACACGUAAACGCGUGGGGAAAUCCAUCCCCGCGUUUCAUCCACCAAGGGUUGCAUGCAGGUGGCGGUUCCUGUGCACACCAAGACAGGCAUAUGGGCUGUUUCCUUUGAGACUUUGCACCUUGGCUGAGGGUUCAACAACGGAUGUCAAAACCUGUCAUCCUAAAAAACGGGCUUUGUGGUGCCGGGACUGGCAUUCUGCGGGCCAUGUGCAUCAGUGAGCUGGCUUGGCAGGAGCCCCGGUCUGGCUGUGGGAGCAGUGGCCUGAUUGCGCUCAGGAGGGGCUGCACCAGCUCGUGCCUCACUCCUGCCUGCGAGGCCGUGGGCUCAUUUUACAGUUCAACUUGAAUCUAAGUGGGGUGGUUGUGUAAAGCACAGUGAGGCGCCUGCUCUUGCCACGUGCCAAAAAAAACAACAAACCACUUCAGCUUUAUUGGUGUGUGGCUGUUCUCCUGCUGAAGACAGGAUGCUGGGAUUUGACCCAUCUAAAGCUCACCUGAAAUUCAUUAAAAUAGUGACUUCCACUGAUCUCUUUGUAGGAAUGAGCUGGGUUUGUCCCAAAGCUAAGAUGCAGCUGAGAAUCCCAUUGUUUGCAGAAAUAAAUAUAUUAACAACGCGAACGACGAUCUUGAUCUCACUUUCACCUUUACAUAAUAGUUUCUUUAUCUCUCCCUGACGUGCAUUUCCCACAAGAGAACCCACAUUCAUUCUCCUGUCCAAACAGAGCGUACUUACCCCGUGCAGGCGUAUCUGAGCCACAGAGUUGCUUUGUUUGACACGCGUUGUGAGUGUCGGGAGAGAUCAGCUAAAACUCUUUCCCCACCACAAUUCUUUCAGCACCACAACCAGUACCCUCACCCCAACGACGAGAGGCACGUGCACAUCACAGAACUGCUUAGGAUUAAAAUAAUAAUAAUAUAGAGGAAAUCAUUACAAAAUAAAACACACAGACUGCUUCAGAUAAACAUGUGUUGUGUUUGGCUGCCAUCCAGGUUUCCAAGUUAUUCCAGGUCUGAUUGAUGGACUGAGAUGCUGGGUACACAGAUCUCCGGUACAAGCCAAGGGCUCGGUGUCUGGUCUCCUACCUCCCGGAUCAAAGAACAAAUCCUCUCUCUAGGUCUCCUCUGCCUUUUUAACCUCACAGAAUCUUCCCCGAUGUUUUACUAGUU